GAUGAACGCUAGCUCCAGGCUUAACACAUGCAAGUCGCGGGGCAGCAUGGGGGUUGCCUGCAAUCCCCGAUGGCGACCGGCGCACGGGUGAGUAACGCGUAUCCAACCUGCCCUUCACCACGGGAUAACCCGGCGAAAGUCGGACUAAUACCGUAUGUUGUCCAUUGACGGCAUCCGAUUUGGACGAAAGGCUUGGCGGUGAGGGAGGGGGAUGCGUCCGAUUAGCCAGACGGCGGGGUAACGGCCCACCGUGGCUACGAUCGGUAGGGGUUCUGCGAGGAAGGUCCCCCACACUGGAACUGGGACACGGUCCAGACUCCUACGGGAGGCAGCAGUGAGGAAUAUUGGUCAAUGGGCGUAAGCCUGAACCAGCCAAGUAGCGUGCAGGAUGACGGCCCUAUGGGUUGUAAACUGCUUUUAAGCGGGGAUAAAGUGGCCCACGUGUGGGCUUUUGCAGGUACCGCAUGAAUAAGGACCGGCUAAUUCCGUG
rnacentral:rRNA from 1 species